UGGGGAAUAUUGGACAAUGGGCGCAAGCCUGAUCCAGCCAUGCCGCGUGUGUGAAGAAGGCCUUCGGGUUGUAAAGCACUUUUGUCCGGAAAGAAAUCCUGUCGGCUAAUACCCGGCGGGGAUGACGGUACCGGAAGAAUAAGCACCGGCUAACUUCGUGCCAGCAGCCGCGGUAAUACGAAGGGUGCAAGCGUUACUCGGAAUUACUGGGCGUAAAGCGUGCGUAGGUGGUUUGUUAAGUCUGAUGUGAAAGCCCUGGGCUCAACCUGGGAACUGCAUUGGAAACUGGCUGACUAGAGUGCGGUAGAGGGGUGUGGAAUUCCCGGUGUAGCAGUGAAAUGCGUAGAUAUCGGGAGGAACACCAGUGGCGAAGGCGACACCCUGGACCAGCACUGACACUGAGGCACGAAAGCGUGGGGAGCAAACA
rnacentral:rRNA from 1 species